GCCAGCGGCUAUAGCACGUUGAAUACACCAGUUCCUUGUGGAUCACUGAAGUUAAGCAACGUUGACCGUGGUUAGUAUUCGGAUGGGUGACCAUCUGAUGAAUCCAACUUGAUGACUUGUU
rfam:Asian citrus Psyllid, Diaphorina citri - Florida Strain, whole genome shotgun sequence.